rnacentral:misc_RNA from 1 species
ACCAAUGACUAUGAUGUGAAAAUGCGCAACGUUUACAAGUUCCUAGAGAACGGUGACAAGGUCAAGAUCACGCUACGCUUCCGCGGCCGUGAAAUGGCGCACCAGAACUUGGGCCGUGAGCUGCUUGAGCGUGUUGCCGGUGACGUUGACGGAUUGGGCAAAGUUGAGAACAUGCCCAAGAUGGAAGGUCGUCAGAUGGUCAUGAUGAUUGGCCCCGUCGCCCGCUAGGCUUCGAUCAACGCAUAUGGCCGUAUUUAAGACGGUCUGACAUUCCAAAAGGGCGGUUUCUCCGCCCU